rnacentral:rRNA from 1 species
GAGCAGUGGCACUAGUGUCAACGGCCGCGGUAUCCUAACCGUGCGAAGGUAGCGUAAUCACUUGUUCUUUAAAUGAGGACUAGUAUGAAUGGCAUCACGAGGGCUAUACUGUCUCCUUUUUCUAAUCAGUGAAACUAAUCUUCCCGUGAAGAAGCGGGAAUUCACCUAUAAGACGAGAAGACCCUAUGGAGCUUUAAAUUUUUCUUCAACUGCCCUACUCCUUCUAAAGUUUAUACUUUUCACAACAACUUCGGCAUUAUGAGGAUAAAUUUUAGGUUGGGGUGACCGCGGAGCAUAGUAAAACCUCCACACUGAACCGAGCCUAUAAACUCUGAGCAAAGGACAACAACCCGAUGCACUAACAUAUUAACAUUCAUUGACCCAAUAAUUUUGAUCAACGAACCAAGUUACCCUAGGGAUAACAGCGCAAUCUGCUUCAAGAGUUCAUAUCGACAAGCAGGCUUACGACCUCGAUGUUGGAUCAGGGUAUCCCAGUGGUGCAGCCGCUACUAAUGGUUCGUUUGUUCAACGAUUAAAACCCUACGUG